GAAGAGGGGCUAGGUGGCGAGAGAAAAGAAUGUAGCCAAGACAGUUACUCUGAUCAAGGCUCCGAAAAUUGCCUAAUUUUCAAUACUAUAUCAUUCAUUUUCUGGUACUUUGUUUUAGGCUACAAUUGGGAAGACCAUCAUAUUGAAGAACAUUGUCAAAGUUCUAGAAGACAUGAAAGGCAUGAAAGAAUUCAUAUUGGAGAGAAACCGUAUGAACGUAACCAAUGGGGUAAAGCCUUUGCAAGUGACAAUCAUCUCCAAAUACGUAAAAGAACAAAUACUGGAGAGAAACCUUAUGAAUGUAAUCAAUGUGGUAAAGCCUUUUCACAACAGAGUAGUCUCCAGUAUCAUAAAAGAACAUAUGCUGGACAGAAACCUUAUGAAUGUAAUCAGUGUGGUAAAGCCUUGUCAUGUCAAAGAAAUCUCCAAUAUCAUAAAAGAACACAUACUGGAGAGAAACCCUAUGAAUGUAAUCAGUGUGGUAAAGCCUUCACACAUUACAAUAAUCUCCGAUAUCAUAAAAGAACACAUACUGGAGAAAAACCUUAUGAAUGUAAUCAGUGUGGUAAAGCCUUUGCACAACACAGUAGUCUUCAAUAUCAUAAAAGAACACAUACUGGAGAGAAACCUUAUGAGUGUGAUCAAUGUGGUAAAGCCUUUGCUUGGCAGUGUAGUCUCCAUAUCCAUAAAAGAACACAUUCUGGAGAGAAACCUUAUGAGUGUAAUGAAUGUGGUAAAGCCUUUGCACAUCACACUAGUCUCCAAAGUCAUAAAAGAAUACAUACUGGAGAGAAACCUUAUCAGUGUGAUCAGUGUGGUAAAGCAUUUGCACAUCAAAAUAAUCUCCAAUAUCAUAAAAGAACACAUACUGGAGAGAAACCAUAUGAAUGCAAUCAAUGUGGUAAAGCCUUUGCAAGUCACAGUCAUCUCCAAAUACAUGAAAGAACACAUUUUAGAAAAAACCCUUAGAAUGCAAUCAAUGUUGUAAAGACUUUGGAUGUAAGACUAAUCUCCAAAGACAUAAAGGAAUAUAUAUGGGACAGAAACCUUAUGAAUGUAAUCAAUGUGGUAAAGCAUUUGCAACUCACAGUCAUCUACAAUGACAUAAAAGAACACAGAGGAGAGAAACCUGGUUAUUGUUUACAUAUUGACAUAAGGAGAUGCAAGUAUGUAUCAACUUGACAAGGGAUGGAUUGUGAUUGCUACUCUUGGUUUUCAAUAUAAGAUCUAAAGUGGAAAGCAUAGGUCCAGGCAUGGUGGUACAUGCCCUUGAACCCUAGGAGAUGAGCAUCAAGCAGAUCUCUGAGUUCAAGUCCAUCCUGAUACAGAACAAGUUUCAGGUGAAGAAAAGCUAAGGUCUAGGCCGGUGGAUACAGAGCCUUGCAGAUCUCUGAGUUCAAGGUCAGUAUAUAGAGCAAGUUCCAGGACAGCCAAGCUGAGGCAGUAAAGGAGUUGGAGAACAGAAAACUGGUGAUAAUGUAAUAGAAGAGGCCAUGUCCCAGGCCCAGAAAGCAGCAGAGCUCAGCAACUUUGUCCAUGUGGCUCUGACUUUAGAGGUAAGAAUAGAAGGGACUACUGGGAAAAUUGAAGCUUGUUAGCUGUGGAUGAGAAAUUAGAAGUGAUGAAGAAGAGACCAGCAUCAUUGAGGUGAAAUUUUCUAGGAAGUGUUUUCUGAGAGGACAAAGAAACUGUGUUCCAGAGAUAGCCAGGAUUGUACCUUGUGUUGCAGCUGAACUUGGUCACAUGUAAGAAUCAUCCAGGUGGUACUGGUUUUGAAGGCAUGACGGUGUCAUGAGGAGCAGCUGAGGCUUGGACCAAUGAAGGGAGCAUAAGUGAGACUAUCAGUGAAGCCUAGUUGCAGGAGAAGAACCCAACAUAUUGAAGAUGCCAGUCCAAUGGGAUGAGCAGAAAGAACAGCCCAGUAGAGUGGAGUCAACCAGAGCUUAGAGUGAUACAGAGGUCAGAGCUAGAGAAGUGACCUUAUCUCUUUGGAGGACUGCAGAAGAUCCCAACAUAUUGAAGAUGCCAGUCCAAUGGGAUGAGCAGAAAGAAC
rnacentral:lncRNA from 1 species